AUCUUGCGCAAUGGGCGAAAGCCUGACGCUGCCAUGCCGCGUGAAUGUUGAAGGUCUUAGGAUUGUAAAAUUCUUUCUCCGGGGACGAUAAUGACGGAACCCGGAGAAGAAGCCCCGGCUAACUUCCUGCCAGCUGACUCGGUAAUACGAAGGGUGCUAGCGUUGCGCGGAAUUACGGGGCGUAAAGGGCGCGUAGGCGGACAUUUAAGUAAGGGGUGAAAUCCCAGAGCUCAACUCUGGAACUGCCUUUGAUACUGGGUGUCUUGAGUGUGAGAGAGGUAUGUGGAACUCCGAGUGUAGAGGUGAAAUUCGUAGAUAUUCAGAAGAACACCAGUGGCGAAGGCGACAUACUGGCUCAUUACUGACGCUGAGGCGCGAAAGCGUGGGGAGCAAACAG
rnacentral:rRNA from 1 species